rnacentral:tRNA from 1 species
GGGGCCUUAGCUCAGCUGGGAGAGCGCCUGCCUUACAAGCAGGAGGUCGGCGGUUCGAUCCCGCUAGGCUCCACCA